GGUUCUUUGGUGUAGUGGUCAUCACAUCGCUUUCACACAGCGAAGGCCCCCGGUUCGAACCCGGGAAGGACCA